rnacentral:piRNA from 1 species
UGGGUAGCCUAGGUUUCUAUCUUGAGACCGA